CACGUAGGGAGCAAGCGUUGUCCGGAUUUAUUGGGCGUAAAAGAGCUCGUAGGCUGUUCGAUAAGUCGGGUGUGAAACCUCCAGGCUCAACCUGGAGACGCCACCCGAUACUGUCAUGACUAGAGUCCGGUAGGGGAGCGUGGAAUUCCUGGUGUAGCGGUGAAAUGCGCAGAUAUCAGGAAGAACACCAUGGCGAAGGCAGCUCUCGUGGGACGGUACUGACGCUGAGACGGCGAAAGCCAGGGGAGCGAACGGGG
rnacentral:rRNA from 1 species